UACGUAGGGGGCUAGCGUUGUCCGGAAUUACUGGGUGUAAAGCGCGUGUAGGCGGCAGACCAAGUCGGCGGUGAAAGCGCCCGGCUCAACUGGGCGAGGUCCGUGGAAACUGGUCAGCUGGAGGACGGUAGAGGCGAGUGGAAUUCCCGGUGUAGUGGUGAAAUGCGUAGAGAUCGGGAGGAACACCUGUGGCGAAGGCGGCUCGCUGGGCCGGUCCUGACGCUGAGACGCGAAAGCGUGGGGAGCGAACAGG
rnacentral:rRNA from 1 species